GGUUGGGUGGCUCAGUGGUAGAGUUCUUGCCUUGCAUGCAUGAGGCCCUGGGUUCGAUUCCUCAGCACCA
rnacentral:tRNA from 1 species